AACUGGAAUCCCAACUGGAAACAAUGAUGCUGACAAGGGAUUGAAAGGUAUUCUGCCUUCAGUGAAGUCUGGUGAUCAAACUGAAAAGGAUGCUGAGAAAGGAAAGGAUAAAGCUCAAGCUACAGCCAUGAAAGCAGAUGCAUCAAAAGAGAAGGCUGACAAAGACUUGAAUAAACUCCAGAAAUGGCUUCGAAUGCUCAUGGAAUACAUCUGGCACGUAGACAGCGGAUGUUCAAGACACAUGACUGGAUUGAAG